GAGUGCGCCCUUCUCGGGUCCCCUAGGUCGCGGGGCAGCCGGGGCGGAAGGGGCUUGUUCAUUAUUUUGAGAGUUUGUUGUGAACGUCAUAACCUUUCGUCCUUAAAUAUUGCCGAUACUUGACCUACGCAAGAGACAAUGUCAUGUGAUUCAGCCUAAUAUCUCAGAGGAUGCAGCAUUCAAGGUUCUAUCUUGGAAGCAGAGACUGUGCCCUCACCAGAUGCUGAACCUGCUGAGCACCCUGAUCUUCCACUUCACCUUCAUCAGAACUGUUUUCGUAUCAGGAUGAUGCUGGCCUCAUACAAUGAGUUAGGGACGCGCAUGAAAUUUGGUGCCGUGACUCGGAUCGGCGGACCUCCCUUAGGAGAUCAAUCCCCUGUCCUCCUGCUCUUUGCUCCAUGAGAAAGAUCCACCUACGACCUAAGGUCCUCAGACCAACCAGCCCAAGAAACAUCUCACCAAUUUCAAAUCCGAAAUCCUUCAUCUAAUCUGGCAAACACAUGUGGCAGGUUUUUCUCACCGCAUAAAAUAUGUUAUAGAGUAGUCCAUCUAUUUCUCUUCCAUGGAAGAGUUCAUCUGGUAGAUUGGACUACCACUUUUCCUUGUCCCGAGUUCUCAUCCCGCAUCCAGGAAGAAUGAGGUUAUGUGGACACCUGGAGGGUGAGCGAGGCUGAGAAAAGCUUUAUUGGGCAACCAGACAGCUCUCAGAAGAGAGGUGACCUGAAGCAGGAUGAGAGACGUUGAGCUCCAAACUCAGACUAAGAAACUAUAAGAAAUAUGCUUCAAUGAAGAAGCUGUUCAAAAAUGAGUAAGAUUGUUUCCUUGAGGCAAGAAAGAAAUGCAGAAGUCUUGACAAACAAAAGAAGAGAUUGCCUUAGGGAAGGGGACUACAGUGAACACUGAGAACUUCUUCCCACGCUAAGACAAUCUUUACAGAGCAAGACUCCGUCUCAAAAAAAAAAAAAAAAGUAAGCAUAAGAA
rnacentral:lncRNA from 1 species